UUCCUUUGCACCGGUUUUGAUAAAUCUCCCUCACGGUCUAUAUAUACACAUCCGCAUCAGGACUAGUAAUAGGAAAACAAGACAACCCUGAUUUGGAGGCCAGGCUGUUCCCUCUGUGUAAAUAAUCCACAUUUUGCACAUUAUCAAUUAGCAUUGGAGAGCCCAGGGAUCUGCACCUUUGUGUACUCAGAAUUGUAAAUUGCUAAUCCAGCAUGGCGACAGCCCUGGCACAAUACGAGGAUGACUGUCACACUGGAAACCACAGGAAGGGACAAAGAAAUGCGUUGGUUUUCGGAUAAAGCGUCCCGGGGGUAUACGCCGGGGGUUGUGAUUUCAGACAAGGCAGCACCAAGGGAAGGCAGAGAAUGAGAGAAGCGAAUGGCUGCUGCUUCAUUUUGAUACAGUUCCUUAGGAAUUUCUUUUCAGAUGUUUAGGGUUAAUUCUACACAGAACGAAAAAGAUGAAGAAAAUUUGGCAGGUUUACAUCACUGUCCUACAUGUUUUCUGGCAGAUCUCAUCAAGAAAUUGACAAAACUGAGAGAAACUCAAAGUUUUCUCCAUUCUAGCAGGGGUUUCAGUCAUCGUACAUCAGGGUAUGGUGACCAGACAUGCUGCAGAGAUCAUCGGACAUCUGAGAAAUAUUUAAUAUGACGCUCAAGUCCUAUUGUCAUCGAUCUCUAAACCGGUCCAAAUCAAAAUAGUGUCUAAUGCCCGCUCCAUAUCGGACUGCCUGCCAAUAUAGAAGGAAUUGGUGUGUUUUGUUGCAGUUAAUUUGAUGUAUGUGACCAGAAACAUAAUAAAAUGAUAUAAGUCUGA